GAUUUGCACACCGCGAUACGUCCUUUUGUUGGAUGAGUUUUUCUAUUCUGAAUUCUCUUUGCUCUUGGUUUUGACCGAGACUUGGUUGUUGGCUUAUAUGCUAUCGUGUUGUGGUGCUGGUGAUGCCUAUCGGUGCCCAUAAAGCAUUGUUCUUUGCAUUUCCAGUAGUUGGCGGCAGCAAUACCUUGAAGAAGUACCUAGAAACUUCAUCUUUGAAAGCAUCUGGAGACUUUCUUAGAGCCAACAAAUGGGCCAGAUCCAUCGAGAUAUGCUUAAAGCUUUUCUUUUAUGUUUUGUUUGGAUGGAUUUUGGGCGUCUAACCCACCUCAUGUACUGCUUUCUAAUUUAAUGAAAUUUCAUAUUUCAUGAGGAAAAAAGAAACUGCUGAGAGCAAGAGAGAUGAAAAGAUUUCUAUGUAUUUAAGGGCGUAAUGAAAUAUGAUGCAAUCAAAUUUUCUGUUGAGAGCCAUUACAAACGUGUUGCUUCUUCCGUUCACUAUAACAACGAUAUCUCCAUCUCCAUCUCGGAUUUAGACCAGGUUUUGCUUGAGAAGAGCCAUGUAAUGUUGCAUCAGGUCAAUUUCAUGUUCCCUUUCAUGUCACACUAUCAGUUGCUCUUGCAUUGCGAAGCUUGAUUGCAUCUGGGAUCAGACACCAAUCUAUUACUUGUGCUUGAAAAGUGGGCUUCCACUUGACAGGAUCACACUCUCUUUAUAUUGUGAGGUGAGAGUCAACUGCUUUGGAAGCGAUUUUUUGGCUGUUUGGUUUAAAUACACCCCAUAAAAAAUAUUUCUUGCAAAAACCUGUGAAUCAAUUGCUUCAAAAUAUAAGAGAACUUCAUACAAGAAAUCAAUUAAUUUAUUGGAAAAAGAAAUCUUUGCUUCAAUUCGCAAUUAUAACCAAUUCUUUUCAUUUUGUCUAUUAUAUACAUAAUAUUUCACAUUAGUAUCAAUUCUAACCAAACUUGGAACAAAGAAAAACCUGAAAAGUUUUCACCUUGUUCUCUCUCUUUAGCAUUUUGGAAGUUUUAGCAGAUGCUCUUACAAGAAUAGCUACAAUUGACACCGAUGUGGAAGGUUGCAUAUAUUAUCAAAAAAAUUGAAAAGAUCGACUAUAAUUGUAAACUGAACCAAGGUUUUAGAGUCAUUAACCUACUAGCUAUUAUUCAGGGAAAAAAACUAUAAAACAAGAAAAGCAAAUAGCUUACGCCAAUGUUCGGGUGGCAGUUCACGAGAAGAGAAGACCAAUAGUUCCACAUUGUUUAUCACUGCCUUAAGAGCUUGGUCAUGAAUGAUUAGGUCAUCCAUCAGGUCAUCAAAAACUUUUUCAUCCCUUUCAUGUUGAGGAAAAAAAUAAAGAGCAAUACUUUCAUCAGUUGGUGGUUCUAUCUGAAAACUCUGAGGCCAUGCCUCAGAUCUAGAAACAAUUGCUACAUUCAGUCGCAUUGGUAAUGCUUUUGCUACUUCCUCUGCUUUUGGGCAAGCUUUACUUGAUAAAUGGGCCACAAGUCCAAAGAAAGUUGAGUUUUUCUUAUUUUGGAUUCUAAAGGAUCCCCCCCAAAUUGGAUCAAUUAUUGGUUGGGCAUGGACAUAUCUGUUGGCUUCUGAAUAUGGUAUUUCACUUGAUAUGUUCAGUGGAUAAGCACUGACUGCAUGAUCUGGUUGACAAGGAUGAACUUCAGUGUGUUUAACAGAUUCAGACUCCUCAUCAGAACUGCAAUCUUCAAGGACCAACCUUCUCUUUGGUUUUUUGAACUCUUCAUUUCCAAUGUUGGGGAAAGAAGAUGGCAGCCUUUCUAUCUUCUCUUUCUGGCAAUCACCUGUAGGCUUCUUUGCAUUAGUCAAACUAUCUGUAUCUGCACAAGCCUGUGCUUUUACCGUAGAGAAACUGGUCUGCCUUCGCAUCUUAAUCCUAUUCAACCUGAUUUCAACAGCUUGACUAAUGCGUGCACUUUUAAUCGAUGGAUUAGGACUAGACUUAGUAUUUCUUGAACUACAUUCCUCACAAGUCCAAAUGAAAUUUUCAUCACCUUUUCUUCGCAAAAUGUCCAUACAAUAGCUAUGCUCGGAGGAGCCCUGACACUUGGCACAGUAUAUAAGAUGCUUCGUGUAACCUUUAUCCCCACACUUCUGACAAACACUCAUCUUCUCAAAAAUAGUACCGCUGCUCCAAAUUUCAACCCAAAUUCUUCAAGUUUCAAGCUUAUAAUCAUGCAAUAGAGUAUUUGUGAGAGAGAUUAAGGAAAAAAAAGCGGCGAGAGAUUUUGCAGUAUAUAGCCAAAGAACGCAACAAAAAUAGAACAGGCCGUGAGAGGAAGAAAGAUGACUCUUGGGAACUAAAUAAAUAAUUAACAUCCAUCUAUGUACACAAAGCAGGUAGGUUUUCU
rnacentral:misc_RNA from 1 species